UAGGGAAUAUUGGACAAUGGGGGAAACCCUGAUCCAGCGAUGCCGCGUGUGUGAAGAAGGCCUGCGGGUUGUAAAGCACUUUAAGUUGGGAAGAAAAGCUUGCGGUUAAUACCCGUAAGUGUUGACGUUACCAACAGAAUAAGCACCGGCUAACUCUGUGCCAGCAGCCGCGGUAAUACAGAGGGUGCAAGCGUUAAUCGGAAUUACUGGGCGUAAAGCGUGCGUAGGUGGUUGGCUAAGUCUGAUGUGAAAUCCCCGAGCUUAACUUGGGAACUGCAUUAGAUACUGGUUGGCUAGAGUAGGAUAGAGGAAAGCGGAAUUCCAGGUGUAGCGGUGAAAUGCGUAGAUAUCUGGAGGAACACCGGUGGCGAAGGCGGCUUUCUGGAUUCAUACUGACGCU
rnacentral:rRNA from 1 species